rnacentral:rRNA from 1 species
GACGAACGCUGGCGGCGUGCUUAACACAUGCAAGUCGAACGAAGUGGCGAACGGGUGAGUAACGCGUAAUCAACCUGCCCUUCCGAGGGGGACAACAGUUGGAAACGACUGCUAAUACCGCAUACUGAAGGAGGGGAUUGCGUCUGAUUAGCUAGUUGGCGGGGUAACGGCCCACCAAGGCGAUGAUCAGUAGCCGGUUCGGGAGGAGUGACGGCAACAUUGGGACUGGGACACGGCCCAGACUCCUACGGGAGGCAGCAGUGGGGAAUCUUCCGCAAUGGACGAAAGUCUGACGAAGCAACGCCGGGUGAGUGAGGACGGCCUUCGGGUUGGAAAGCUCUGUUAAGCGGGACGCGGUACCGGAAUAGAAAGCCACGGCUAACUACGUGCCAGCAGCCGCGGUAAUAC